GCCAUUUUGAAGCGUUUUUAAACGGAGAAACUUCAAGCGGUAGCAGAAUAUUACGGUAAAUGGAACAAAGUUUCUUGGGAUCUUCGCAAAGCGAGCUUCAUUACCCUCCGUUCAAAGUCCAUGUUUGCACGUUCUGAAUAUUCGCGGUCUUGGUAAACUUCAUCCCAGAAAUGCAUCCACCGUUCGAGCUCUCAGCAAAGGAAUGAGUGAGUGAGAGAAAGAGAGAGAGAGAGAGAGAGAGAGAGAGAGAGAGAGAGAGAAGAGGAGAAGUAUAUACCAUGAUAAAAAAACAAAACACUUGUAUUCUCUUACAUGUAAUUCAACGAUAUGAAUUCAAACGAUCGAUCGAUCGACCAAUAGCAAUAAACGUUUCUAAUCGAAUAUUAUUAUCCAUCCAAUCAGGAUGUCGAUGCUAUACAGUUACAUUAUGUUUGUGUGUGUGUAUUUGUGUGUAUAUACAGAGCACAGAUAAUCCUUUUUCCCCCUCAUAUACCAUAAACUUGAAACACACGGGUAUAAAAUUCUAUUUCCACCAUUACGGUCGCGACAUUUCUCCCUCGAGUUGAAGAACUGAGAGGAUUGGAGAAGAGAAAGAGGAAGAGAGAAAAAUAGCGAGCUUUUCCUUGAGAGUAAUAGUAGUGUGGCGGUGGUGGUGAUGGUAGUGUGGUAAUGGUGAUGGUGGUGGCAAUGGUGUAGUGGUGUGAUGGUAGUAGUAGUAGUAGUAAUAGUAUAGUAGUCUUCUUAGAGGAUGAAGAAGAGGGAAAGAGGAGUGGAAAAGCUGGAACGCAGGAAUAUACGCGACGCCAGUGGCACCAGCCUAUCGAUUUGCUCUCACGUUGCUGAGAUGGACGAACUGAGAGCGAGAAAGAGAGAAAGAGAAGGGACUAGAACGAAAUAGAGUCCAACUUCCGCGUUCUCCUUUGAAACGACUUCGCGAGCAAGAACAGCCACGAUCCUAUCUAGAUAGGUCGAUAAACGCGCUUGUACAUACACGUCGAGGUACAACGAACUACGAGCUUACGUGGAUAUAGAAAAAUAUGGCUAUUCGUGGCUCUCCUUAAAUAGAUUCUCAUCCAUCUUCGGAUAGCUAUCGACGGUACGAGAUACAAGUUAGAGAGAGCCUAUUGAAUGCGUAGGAGGUCGUCGGAUGAUAGUUCAUGGUCCGGAAAUUAUUUGCAUUAAAAAAAAAGAAAAAAAAGAAAAAAGAAGAAGAAGAAGAAGAAAGAAAAAGAAAAGA